rnacentral:rRNA from 1 species
GACGAACGCUGGCGGCGUGCUUAACACAUGCAAGUCGAGCGGUAAGGCCCUUUCGGGGGUACACGAGCGGCGAACGGGUGAGUAACACGUGGGUGACCUGCCCUUAGCUCUGGGAUAAGCCUGGGAAACUGGGUCUAAUACCGGGAUAUGACUCCAUGACGCAUGUUGUGGGGUGGAAAGCCUUGUGCGGCUAGGGGAUGGGCCCNGGCCUAUCAGCUUGUUGGUGGGGUGAUGGCCUACCAAGGCGACGACGGGUAGCCGGCCUGAGAGGGCGACCGGCCACACUGGGACUGAGACACGGCCCAGACUCCUA